rnacentral:rRNA from 1 species
CCUACGGGUGGCAGCAGUGAGGAAUAUUGGUCAAUGGGCGCGAGCCUGAACCAGCCAAGUCGCGUGAGGGAUGACGGUCCUACGGAUUGUAAACCUCUUUUGCCGGGGAGCAAGCGUGCGUUCGUGAACGCGCGUCGAGAGUACCCGGAGAAAAAGCAUCGGCUAACUCCGUGCCAGCAGCCGCGGUAAUACGGAGGAUCCGAGCGUUAUCCGGAUGUAUUGGGUUUAAAGGGUGCGUAGGCGGCCUUUUAAGUCAGCGGUGAAAGUCUGUGGCUCAACCAUAGAAUUGCCGUUGAAACUGGGGGGCUUGAGUAUGUUUGAGGCAGGCGGAAUGCGUGGUGUAGCGGUGAAAUGCUUAGAUAUCACGCAGAACCCCGAUUGCGAAGGCAGCCUGCCAAGCCAUGACUGACGCUGAUGCACGAAAGCGUGGGGAUCAAACAGGAUUAGAUACCCCAGUAGUC